rnacentral:lncRNA from 1 species
GGAAGAGGGAGAGAAGCACAGAGAGACUCAGAGGCCUGCAGCCCCCUGGGCCAGUGCUUGAGAAACAAUGUGCACUAAUGGGGCUUUGGAGGGUGGCAACAGGAGGCCCGGUGAAAUCCCCGGUGAGAGCAGCCUUUUCGCCGUGGCCUGCCGUGAAGCACUAUGGCAGCACCCACACCUGCCAGGACUGAAGAUGAAGAAACCGAGGCCCAGAGGGACUGACGCACUUGCUCGAGACCUACCCCAAGCCAGUCUGUUCUCUUAACGUCUAUUCUGCAGUUUGAUAUGUGACCAUUCACAGUGAGCUUGGUCAAUACAAAGAUGUUCCCAGAAA